UACGGGGGGGGCAAGCGUUGUUCGGAAUUACUGGGCGUAAAGGGCUCGUAGGCGGCCAACUAAGUCGGAUGUGAAAUCCCCCAGGCUUAACCUGGGAACUGCAUCCGAUACUGGAUGGCUUGAAUCCGGGAGAGGGAUGCGGAAUUCCAGGUGUAGCGGUGAAAUGCGUAGAUAUCUGGAGGAACACCGGUGGCGAAGGCGGCAUCCUGGACCGGCAUUGACGCUGAGGCGCGAAAGCUAGGGGGAGCAAACGGG
rnacentral:rRNA from 1 species